CCUACGGGGGGCAGCAGUGGGGAAUAUUGGGCAAUGGAGGAAACUCUGACCCAGCAACGCCGCGUGAGGGAUGAAGGUUUUCGGAUUGUAAACUUCUGUUGCGAGGGAUGAAGAAUGACGGUACCGCGUGAGGAAGCCCCGGCAAAAUACGUGCAAGCAGCCGCGGUAAUACGUAGGGGGCAAGCGUUGUCCGGAAGGACUGGGCGUAAAGGGAGGGUGGGCGGCCUUUGAAGUUCUAUGUGAAAGCCUCGGUCUUAACCGAGGAACUGCAUAUAAAAAUGGAGGGUUGGAGUGCAGGAGAGGUAAGCGGAAUUUCUAGUGUAGCGGUGGAAUGCGUAGAUAUUAGGAAGAACACCGAAGGCGAAGGCGGCUUACUGGACUGUAACUGACGCUGAGGCUCGAAAGCGUGGGGAGCAAACAGGAUUAGAUACCCGGGUAGUC
rnacentral:rRNA from 1 species